rnacentral:rRNA from 1 species
UCCCUACGGAGGCAGCAGUGGGGAAUAUUGGACAAUGGGGGAAACCCUGAUCCAGCGACGCCGCGUGAGUGAAGAAGUAUUUCGGUAUGUAAAGCUCUAUCAGCAGGGAAGAAAAUGACGGUACCUGAGUAAGAAGCUCCGGCUAAAUACGUGCCAGCAGCCGCGGUAAUACGUAUGGAGCAAGCGUUAUCCGGAUUUACUGGGUGUAAAGGGAGCGCAGGCGGUCUGGCAAGUCUGAUGUGAAAUACCGGGGCUCAACUCCG